rnacentral:rRNA from 1 species
UACGUAGGGUGCGAGCGUUGUCCGGAAUUAUUGGGCGUAAAGGGCUCGUAGGCGGUCUGUCGCGUCGGGAGUGAAAACUCAGGGCUUAACCCUGAGCCUGCUCCCGAUACGGGCAGACUAGAGGUAUGCAGGGGAGAACGGAAUUCCUGGUGUAGCGGUGGAAUGCGCAGAUAUCAGGAGGAACACCGGUGGCGAAGGCGGUUCUCUGGGCAUUACCUGACGCUGAGGAGCGAAAGUGUGGGGAGCGAACAGG